UACGUAGGGCGCAAGCGUUGUCCGGAAUUAUUGGGCGUAAAGAGCUCGUAGGCGGUUUGUCGCGUCUGCUGUGAAAACCUAAGGCUCAACCUUGGGCUUGCAGUGGGUACGGGCAGUCUAGAGUGCGGUAGGGGUGACUGGAAUUCCUGGUGUAGCGGUGGAAUGCGCAGAUAUCAGGAGGAACACCGAUGGCGAAGGCAGGUCACUGGGCCGCAACUGACGCUGAGGAGCGAAAGCAUGGGGAGCGAACAGG
rnacentral:rRNA from 1 species